rnacentral:rRNA from 1 species
GCUCAACCGGGGAGGGUCAUUGGAAACUGGGGAACUUGAGUGCAGAAGAGGAGAGUGGAAUUCCACGUGUAGCGGUGAAAUGCGUAGAGAUGUGGAGGAACACCAGUGGCGAAGGCGACUCUCUGGUCUGUAACUGACGCUGAGGCGCGAAAGCGUGGGGAGCGAACAGGAUUAGAUACCCUGGUAGUCCACGCCGUAAACGAUGAGUGCUAAGUGUUAGAGGGUUUCCGCCCUUUAGUGCUGCAGCAAACGCAUUAAGCACUCCGCCUGGGGAGUACGGUCGCAAGACUGAAACCCAAAGGAAUUGACGGGGGCCCGCACAAGCGGUGGAGCAUGUGGUUUAAUUCGAAGCAACGCGAAGAACCUUACCAGGUCUUGACAUCCUCUGACAACCCUAGAGAUAGGGCUUCCCCUUCGGGGGCAGAGUGACAGGUGGUGCAUGGUUGUCGUCAGCUCGUGUCGUGAGAUGUUGGGUUAAGUCCCGCAACGAGCGCAACCCUUGAUCUUAGUUGCCAGCAUUCAGUUGGGCACUCUAAGGUGACUGCCGGUGACAAACCGGAGGAAGGUGGGGAUGACGUCAAAUCAUCAUGCCCCUUAUGACCUGGGCUACACACGUGCUACAAUGGGCAGAACAAAG